rnacentral:lncRNA from 1 species
UGAGACACAAAAUAGAAUUUGUCGUGAAUGUUUAGUGCCUGCCUUGGAACAUGGUUUGCUUUUCCUUUGCUUCCCUCUCCUCACUCUCUCUCUCUGCCGAUGGAGUCCGGAUUUUGCUCUCCAUUUGCUAUCUUUGGAUAGAAAUGAAACUAUGUAAGCAAAAGAAUGUCUAAAUAGUAAAUGCCACAUAGGAUUAUGAUGGGACGAAUAUAAUUCUCCACUUAUUAAUCAAAAACAUUGGAUCCAAAUUUUUGCAAUAUAGAAAUUUUGGUAAAGAUUGUUCCCCUUUAAUAGGUCGUAGGAGGAGAGAAUCGAUUAAUCGAGCCACUGAAAACAUGAUUUUUAAUGAUUAAUCCCGAAAAAGAAAUACCCGCAAUGUCUAAUAAAUUAAAGUAAAAUUAAACAUGGAGACUGAAGUAGAAGGCUAACUCACUUGUUGCUUUGUCCCGCGUUUCAGGUGGAGGGUUCAAACUCCAUUGAUAGCAUAGUAUCCUCUUUUUCUUUCUCCCUCUCCCUCCCCUAAUUUUUUUUCUUUUUUAAUAAAAAGCAAGGAUAUGAUUGUAUUAGUUGAGGAUAGUGCAGAACCACAUGCAUUCAAGGGGUAUAUAUAUAGUGUCAUCCAUUACCUUUUCGUAGGUUUUCU